rnacentral:rRNA from 1 species
UACGUGGGGUGCAAGCGUUGUCCGGAAUUAUUGGGCGUAAAGAGCUCGUAGGCGGUUUGUCGCGUCUGCUGUGAAAACUCGGGGCUUAACUCCGGGCCUGCAGUGGGUACGGGCAGACUAGAGUGCGGUAGGGGAGACUGGAAUUCCUGGUGUAGCGGUGAAAUGCGCAGAUAUCAGGAGGAACACCGGUGGCGAAGGCGGGUCUCUGGGCCGUAACUGACGCUGAGGAGCGAAAGCAUGGGGAGCGAACAGG